GAUGAACGCUGGCGGCGUGCUUAACACAUGCAAGUCGAACGGAAAGGCCCAAGCUUGCUUGGGUACUCGAGUGGCGAACGGGUGAGUAACACGUGGGUGAUCUGCCCUGCACUUCGGGAUAAGCCUGGGAAACUGGGUCUAAUACCGGAUAGGACCACAUUUUGGAUGGUGUGGUGGAAAGUUUUUCGGUGUGGGAUGAGCUCGCGGCCUAUCAGCUUGUUGGUGGGGUAAUGGCCUACCAAGGCGUCGACGGGUAGCCGGCCUGAGAGGGUGUACGGCCACAUUGGGAGUGAGAUACGGCCCAGACUCGUACGGGAGGCAGCAGUGGGGAAUAUUGCACAAUGGGAGCAAGCCUGAUGCAGCGACGCCGCGUGGGGGAUGACGGCCUUCGGGUUGUAAACUCCGUUCGCUAGGGACGAAGCGUUUUUGUGACGGUACCUGGAGAAGAAGCACCGGCUAACUACGUG
rnacentral:rRNA from 1 species